rnacentral:rRNA from 1 species
UACGGAGGAGGCAAGCGUUAUCCGGAAUUAUUGGGCGUAAAGAGUCCGUAGGUGGCGAUUCAAGUCUGCUGUCAAAGCGUGGAGCUCAACUCCAUCAAGGCAGUGGAAACUGAAUGGCUAGAGUCCGGUAGGGGUAGCGGGAAUUCCCAGUGUAGCGGUGAAAUGCGUAGAGAUUGGGAAGAACAUCGGUGGCGAAAGCGCGCUACUGGGCCGGAACUGACACUGAGGGACGAAAGCUAGGGGAGCGAAAGGG